rnacentral:rRNA from 1 species
GGUUAAGCGACUAAGCGUACACGGUGGAUGCCCUGGCAGUCAGAGGCGAUGAAGGGCGUGCUAAUCUGCGAUAAGCGCCGGUAAGGUGAUAUGAACCGUUAUAACCGGCGAUACCCGAAUGGGGAAACCCAGUGUGAUUCGUCACACUAUCAUUAACUGAAUCCAUAGGUUAAUGAGGCGAACCGGGGGAACUGAAACAUCUAAGUACCCCGAGGAAAAGAAAUCAACCGAGAUUCCCCCAGUAGCGGCGAGCGAACGGGGAGGAGCCCAGAGCCUGAAUCAGCAUGUGUGUUAGUGGAAGCGUCUGGAAAGGCGCGCGAUACAGGGUGACAGCCCCGUACACAAAAGCGCAUGUGCUGUGAGCUCGAUGAGUAGGGCGGGACACGUGGUAUCCUGUCUGAAUAUGGGGGGACCAUCCUCCAAGGCUAAAUACUCCUGACUGACCGAUAGUGAACCAGUACCGUGAGGGAAAGGCGAAAAGAACCCCGGCGAGGGGAGUGAAAAAGAACCUGAAACCGUGUACGUACAAGCAGUGGGAGCACAGGUUUACCUGUGUGACUGCGUACCUUUUGUAUAAUGGGUCAGCGACUUAUAUUCUGUAGCAAGGUUAACCGAAUAGGGGAGCCGGAGGGAAACCGAGUCUUAACCGGGCGUUAAGUUGCAGGGUAUAGACCCGAAACCCGGUGAUCUAGCCAUGGGCAGGUUGAAGGUUGGGUAACACUAACUGGAGGACCGAACCGACUAAUGUUGAAAAAUUAGCGGAUGACCUGUGGCUGGGGGUGAAAGGCCAAUCAAACCGGGAGAUAGCUGGUUCUCCCCGAAAGCUAUUUAGGUAGCGCCUCGUGAAUUCAUCUCCGGGGGUAGAGCACUGUUUCGGCUAGGGGGCCAUCCCGGCUUACCAACCCGAUGCAAACUGCGAAUACCGGAGAAUGUUAUCACGGGAGACACACGGCGGGUGCUAACGUCCGUCGUGAAGAGGGAAACAACCCAGACCGCCAGCUAAGGUCCCAAAGUCAUGGUUAAGUGGGAAACGAUGUGGGAAGGCCCAGACAGCCAGGAUGUUGGCUUAGAAGCAGCCAUCAUUUAAAGAAAGCGUAAUAGCUCACUGGUCGAGUCGGCCUGCGCGGAAGAUGUAACGGGGCUAAACCAU